rnacentral:rRNA from 1 species
GACGAACGCUGGCGGCGUGCUUAACACAUGCAAGUCGAGCAGUAAAGCUCCUUCGGGAGUACACGAGCAGCGAACGAAUAAGUAACACGUGAGCAAUCUGCCCAUCACAUCAGGAUAACUCCAGGAAACCGAAGCUAAUACCGAAUACGACCACUUCAAACAUCUGACGGUGGUGGAAAGUUCUGGCAAUGAUAGAUAAGCUCGCGGCCUAUCAGCUAGUUGGUGAGAUAAUGGCCUACCAAGGCUUCGACAAAUAGCCGGCCUGAGAGAAUGACCGGCCACACUGAGACUGAGACACAGCCCAGACUCCUACAAAAAGCAGCAGUAAGGAAUAUUGAACAAUGGACGAAAGCCUGAUCCAGCAACGCCGCGUGAAGGAUGACGGCCUUCGGGUUGUAAACCUCUUUCAGCAAAGACGAAGCGAAAGUGACAGUACCUGCAGAAGAAGCACCGGCCAACUACAUGCCAGCAGCCGCAGUAAAAC